GGAGCAUGUGGUUUAAUUCGAUGAUACGCGAGGAACCUUACCAGGGCUUAAAUGCAGGCUGCAUGGGGUAGAGAUACCCCUUUCUUCGGACUGCCUGCAAGGUGCUGCAUGGUUGUCGUCAGCUCGUGCCGUGAGGUGUCAGGUUAAGUCCUAUAACGAGCGCAACCCCUACCGUUAGUUGCCAGCAUGUCAAGAUGGGGACUCUAACGGGACUGCCGGUGCAAACCGUGAGGAAGGUGGGGACGACGUCAAAUCAUCACGGCCCUUACGUCCUGGGCUACACACGUGCUACAAU
rnacentral:rRNA from 14 species